rnacentral:rRNA from 1 species
CCAGACUCCUACGGGAGGCAGCAGUGAGGAAUAUUGGUCAAUGGCCGAGAGGCUGAACCAGCCAAGUCGCGUGAGGGAAGACGGCCCUACGGGUUGUAAACCUCUUUUGUCGGGGAGCAAAGCGAACCACGUGUGGUUCAUUGAGAGUACCCGAAGAAAAAGCAUCGGCUAACUCCGUGCCAGCAGCCGCGGUAAUACGUAGGGGGCAAGCGUUAUCCGGAUUCACUGGGCGUAAAGGGAGCGCAGGCGGCAUGGCAAGUCUGAUGUGAAAACCCGGGGCCCAACCCCGGGAGUGCAUUGGAAACUGCCAGGCUGGAGUGUCGGAGGGGUAAGCGGAAUUCCUAGUGUAGCGGUGAAAUGCGUAGAUAUUAGGAGGAACACCAGUGGCGAAGGCGGCUUACUGGACGACUACUGACGCUGAGGCUCGAAAGCGUGGGGAGCAAACAGGAUUAGAUACCCGCGUACUG